GCUGGGCAUGGUGGUGCGUGCCUGUAGUCCCAGCUGCUCUGGAGGCUGAGGUGGGAGGAUGGCUUGAGCCCAGGAGGUCAAGGCUGCAGUAAGCUGUGAUGGCACCGCUGCACUCCAGCCUGGGCAACAGAGCAAGACUUUGUCUCUA
ensembl:misc_RNA Metazoa_SRP Metazoan signal recognition particle RNA